GCAUCGAUGAAGAACGCAGCGAAAUGCGAUACUUGGUGUGAAUUGCAGAAUCCCGCGAACCAUCGAGUCUUUGAACGCAAGUUGCGCCCGAGGCCACCCGGCCGAGGGCACGCCUGCCUGGGCGUCACGCACCGCGCUGCCCGCACCCGCACCCCGGGCGACGGGCGRAGACUGGCCGACCGUGCGCCCCGCGCGCGCGGCGGGCCGAAAGCCAUGCACGAUGCCGCUGCGCAUCGAGUGCCCCCCCGGCAGGGGCGUCGGCACGGCGUUGGGUGGUCACACGAGGGCUCCUCGCGGAGGAGCCGCUGCGAUCGGACGCCGCGCUCGCCGCCCGCUCCGAGGGGGGACGUAGGCGCCCCGUCCCCGACGGUAUGAUGAGACUGCGUCGCGACCCCAGGUCAGGCGGGGCCACCCGCCGAGUUUAAGCAUAUAAAUAAGCGGAGGAAAAGAAACUUACCAGGAUUCCCC
rnacentral:rRNA from 1 species